rnacentral:rRNA from 1 species
CCUACGGGAGGCUGCAGUGAGGAAUAUUGGUCAAUGGCCGGAAGGCUGAACCAGCCAUGCCGCGUGAAGGUCAGUGCCCUAUGGGCGUUAAACUUCUUUUGUGCGGGAGCAAUAAUGGUCACGUGUGGCCAGACGAGAGUACCGUACGAAUAAGCAUCGGCUAACUCCGUGACAGGAGCCGCGGUAAUACGGGGGAUGCAAGCGUUAUCCGGAUUUAUUGGGUUUAAAGGGUGCGUAGGCUGUGAGGUAAGUCAGCGGGGAAAUGCCCCCGCUCAACGGGGUGAAGUGCCAUUGAUACUGGCUUGCUAGAGUGCGGAUGCCGUAGGAGGAAUGUGUGGUGUAGCGGUGAAAUGCAUAGAUAUCACACAGAACACCGAUUGCGAAGGCAUCUCACGAAUCCGCGAUUGACGCUGAUGCACGAAAGCGUGGGUAUCAAACAGGAUUAGAUACCCUUGUAGUC